rnacentral:piRNA from 1 species
UGCACUAAACAGAAUCCUUUUGACCAGGA